rnacentral:rRNA from 1 species
AUUGAACGCUGGCGGCAGGCCUAACACAUGCCAGUCGAGCGAGCGGCGGACGGGUGAGUAAUGUCUGGGAAACUGCCUUAUGGAGGGGGAUAACUACUGGAAACGGUAGCUAAAACCGCCUACCAUCAGAUUUUCCCAUAUGUGAUUAGCUAGUAGGUGGGUUAACGGCUCACCUAGGCGACGAUCCCUAGCUGGUCUGAGAGGAUGACCAGCAAAACGGGAACGGAGACACGGUCCAGACUCCUACGGGAGGCAGCAGUGGGGAAUAGUGCACAAUGGGCGCAAGCCUGAGGCAGCAAUGCCGCGUGUGUGAAGAAGGCCUUCGGUUUGUAAAGCACUUUCAGCGGGGAGGCGUUACCCGCAGAAGAAGCACCGGCUAACUCCGUGCCAGCAGCCGCGGUAAUUC